rnacentral:rRNA from 1 species
AUGCGCCAGUGCUGCAACCGCCCUAGAAAAAGCUACAACCAGCGGCCAGUUUUUGUUGCAUCGGCGACGGUGAUUUUUUUGGCAUGUGAGGUAGAUGACUGCUACUGGCGACCAAGGAAGAUGCAUCCCGCUGGAGAAAAUGCUACAACCGGCAACAGAAAAAGCUACAACUCGCGGCUAUAUAUGUUGCAAGCGGCGAUGUUGAAGUUUUGGCCGCCGAUGCUACGACCAAAAAAGCUGGAACCGACGAUUUCUUUUGCUACCAUCGUCGGAGCAAAAAAACGUGACACGGCGAUCCAAGAGAGGUUGUAA